rnacentral:rRNA from 1 species
CUGGCUCAGGACGAACGCUGGCGGCGUGCCUAAUACAUGCAAGUCGAACGGUCUUUUCUAUGGAAGCUUGCUUCCACUGAAAAGAUAGUGGCGAACGGGUGAGUAACACGUGGGUAACCUGCCCAUAAGAGGGGGGAUAACAUCCGGAAACGGGUGCUAAUACCGCAUAGUUUUCUUGAUCGCAUGAUCGGGAAAGGAAAGACGGCCUUUGUGCUGUCGCUUAUGGAUGGACCCGCGGCGUAUUAGUUAGUUGGUGAGGUAACGGCUCACCAAGACGAUGAUACGUAGCCGACCUGAGAGGGUGAUCGGCCACAUUGGGACUGAGACACGGCCCAAACUCCUACGGGAGGCAGCAGUAGGGAAUCUUCCGCAAUGGACGAAAGUCUGACGGAGCAACGCCGCGUGAGUGAAGAAAGGUUUUCGGAUCGUAAAACUCUGUUGUCAGAGAAGAACAAGUUGGAGAGUAACUGCUCCAGCCUUGACGGUAUCUGACCAGAAAGCCACGGCUAACUACGUGCCAGCCGCUGC